UGUACACGCUGUGACUAGCAUAUCAAUAAGCGGAGGAAAAGAAACUAACAAGGAUUCCCCUAGUAACGGCGAGUGAAGCGGGAAGAGCUCAAAUUUGAAAUCUUAAAGGGUUUCCCUUUACGAAUUGUAGUUUAAAGAAGUGUUUUCUGUUGAGGUUUUGGUAAAAGUUCUUUGGAAUAGGACAUCAUAGAGGGUGAGAAUCCCGUAUUUGACCUUUACUUUCAACUUUGUGAUACACUUUCAAAGAGUCGGAUUGUUUGGGAAUAGCAGUCCAAAAUGGGUGGUAAAUUUCAUCUAAAGCUAAAUAUUGGCGAGAGACCGAUAGCGAACAAGUACCGUGAGGGAAAGAUGAAAAGAACUUUGAAAAGAGAGUUAAACAGUACGUGAAAUUGUCAAAAGGGAAGCGUUUGACACCAGUGUUGUUUUUCUGAAAAUCAAUUAAAGAACUGUUUAUGCUAAGUUGUUUAGACUUUAUCAGCUAUCUGUUUAGUUUUGAGCUUUUCUUUAAUGCACUUUUCAGUUAACAAGUCAACAUCAAUUUCUUUUGCUGUAAAAAAGCUUGAGGAAGGUGGCUUGAGAUUCGUCUUAAGUGUUUAUAGCCUCUUGCCUAUGCAGUCGGAGAGAUUGAGGUCUGCAGCGUAGAUCCUUCGGGGCUAAAUGCAUUUGUGCUAAGUUAUAGCAUUUUAUAGACAACUUGUUGACUAUGAUUUGUCUUGUAGCUUACUCGCUUAUGUUAUUUUACCUACGCUUAGGAUGUUGAUAUGCAUGACUGAUAU
rnacentral:rRNA from 1 species